UGUGAGCUGAAGGCCACAUGCUUACGCAUGGUCUCAUUUUCCUUUUAAAGAGGGUAAAGUGAUUCCGAAAGAAUUUGAACUGAAAAUAUAAAAGGAAAAUAGACAACUGAGCCUGUUGAUCAAUGGCUGUCAUACUAGCUGCUCUGUAGGAUGAGGCAGAAGGUUCAUAAGUUCAAGGUUUACUUAGACUGCAUAGUGAGACUUUGUGUUAAAACAAAAAGUAAAGAUGAGUUGGGUACAGCUCAGAGUCAGGAGACUUGUCUAGCAACUGUGAGAUGUAUUAUUGAUACCACAGGACAAAACUAUAAUAAACAAAUAAAGAAGAGUCAGAGAAUGAGAUGUAAGUCCCAUUCUACAGCAUGAACCUGUACUUGAUCCAACUUCUCUACUCAAUCAACUCCCUUUAUCUGCAGUGUUCCAAGUUCUAAACUCAUUCUGAAACAAGGAAGCCACACUAGCCCUGUAGGUUCAAACACUACUCCUCACAGAGCGUUGCCAGGCUCCUUGGUGUUGAGGAUAUCAACCUUGGUCUUCAAUUUUACAUAUAUAUCUAUUAUGAAAAAGAAAAGACUCAUUUGGUUCCCGGAUUUCCUCACUGUAUAAAAUUUGCUGCUCUGGAUAUGAACAAAGCAACUACAAAGGACACUGAGAGAAUUCAGCAAGAUACAUCACAACCAAUGCAAAAACGUCCUCAGUGAACAGAAACAGAUUAUUCAAUGUAUAGGAGGGUAAGAAACAAGGGGCUGCAUGGAGGAAAGCAAGAGAGAAAAAGGGGAAAAAAGAAGGAAGAAAAGAAAGAUCGGAAAGGACUUCUUAGGGGAGCUUCCCAAGGAACCGAUGGUCAUUAAUAUAAAUUUGAAGUCAGGGAAGAAAUGAACAUGGAAAAUUUCCAGACUGUGCCAGUAUGCUCUGACAGACCUCUGUGAUUUAACAUCCCUUCCUGACAGUGUGAAUUAUAAUUAAACCACAGACAUAUGGAAGGCAAGUUACUGAAUGUCAUUUGAGCUGUCGGCAUUGAGAGGGGGAGGAGGCACAAAAUAGAAGAUAUGGAAACUAGUUUCUAAAUUCAUUUCUGGUUUCAUAACAAAGAUUGCUAGAGUAAUCCUGUAGGUGUUAUUAGUCAUUGGCUUGGGAUAAUCCUACAGUAGAAGAAUAUGCAUGCUCUGAGAUACCCAUCAUUUCCUUUUUUAUUAGAUAUUUUCUUUAUUUACAUUUCAAAUGUUAACCCCUUUCCUGGUUUCCCCUCUACAAACCCCCUAUCCCAGUCCCCUUCCCCUGGCUUAUAUAAGCGUGCUUUCCCACUCACCCACCCACUCCCUCCCAUCUCCCUGCCCUGAUAUUCCCCUACACUGGGGCAUUAAUCCUUCACAGGACCAAGGUAUUCUCCUCCCAUUGAUGCCAGACAAGGCCUUCCUCUGCUACAUAUGUGGCUGGCGCCAUGAGUGGCUCCAUGUAUACUCUUUGAUUGGUAGUUUAGUCCAUAGGAGCUCUGGGGGGGUCUGGUUGGUUGAUAUUGUUGUUCUUCCUAUGGGGUUGCAAACCCCUUCAGCUCCUUCAGUCCUUUCUCUAACUCCUCAAUUGGGGACCCACAUCAAUUCUAUUCCCACCAAAUGUGGCCUUGCUAAUGACAGCAGCAACUUCACAAAUGAGAGAUAUCCUUUUCAAUUAAUGUUUUGACAUGCCACAGAGAAUCACUAAUGCAAGAACUAUGUAAAUUUUGAAAGGAAUGCAACCUGGGAUUACGGAGCUAUAGAUAUAUGGAAUUAUGGUUGACUUCUCCAGGCUGGAGUGUCCUCCCAAGAGUAAUAGUGGGGAACUGAGGGGAUGUAAAUGUCAGAUGAAACUUUAAAUAUUUACACAUAUCUUAAUUAUUCUGUUAGUCUCCCUUAGUAGGUUAAUCUUACUUUGCAUUUCUUUAUCUCUAGAAACUUCUAUGGUAUCAAACAUACAGAAGAAACACUCACCACUUCUGUUGAUUUAUGAGUAGAUUGAAUGAAACACAAAUCAAUUUUCUUUAGAUGUAUGCUUUCAUGGGUUUAUGGUGCUGAGGUACAAUACAAUGUCAGGAGCAAGGAGAGGUCUUUAGAUGAGAAGGCAUCUGCCACAUAAACUGACAUUUUGACAUGUGAUUCUGGUUUCCUCGUCCUCUCUCAUGGAACAGGGACAACAUCUUUUAGAACAAAAUACUACUCCAGAAUAGCAAAAUCUAGGGAGAAAAAUUAAACUUUAACAGAACAUGAGGAACAGUGGGAACAUAUUUCUGUAUCUUUAUCACUUACUAGUUACACACACACACACACACACACACACACAAAGCUAGUCUCUACAAUUCGUGUACAAAUUGAACAGUGUAAAAGAUCCUUGUGUGGCUGAAUUUAGUGGAUUAUUAUGGUAUAUGUAAGUGUAGAAUACCAGUCCAUAAUUUUUGAGCAUAGAUUAGAACUAUUCAGUUAUAGCAAAUCUGUUAACAUGGUUGACCAAACCUAAGUAAAUCCCAAUGAUAUUACUUCAAUAAAAUCAAUAAUUAAUAUCUCUCCAUUAAUAUAUAUAUAUGUAUAUAUAUAUAUAUAUAACUUCAGAAGGAUGUUGGGUUAGAAUGGACAUAUGCUUAUGAUGAUGACAUAGUCUGUUUCUAUGUUCAUAAAAUCAUCUCCAUGGUAAAUUAAUGAUAGCCACCUUCAAGGAGACAUUGUGAUUUUGGCUCUUUUUUUUCAGAUAAUUCAGUAAUCCUCAGUCUUUAUGUCUGUUGCUCCCAUGGUGAAGCAGAAUACCUGGGUGGAGAGGAUGUAGUAUAGUACCCAAGCUCACCUUAGACAGGAGGAAAGGCAUAUGAUAGAAGAGAGCUGCUCCCUUUCAGGAAGCCAGGGAGCAAAGGAGUAACAGCAGGAAUCCAGAAAAUACAUCCUUUAAGAGUAUGGCCCCUGUGAUCUCCUUCUUCCAACAAAAUGCCAUCUUCUACCAUUCCUCUCUCUCUCAGAUUUUGACUUGACUGAUGAAUUAAAUAAACCUCAUCAUCUAAUAAUCUCUGACAAUGUCAUCAUAGACAUACUCAGAGCUGUGCUUCUCUUAUUUCUAAUCAAUUUGUCAGCCAGUGUCAACUAUGAAGUCAUAUUAUACUGUUAUUCUUAUACUAGUUCAUAGCUCAACACUACAGCCAAAGUUCUCCUGUGAGAUACUUAGAAAGUGGCUUACAAGUUCCAUCCAUUUGCCUGUGAAUUUUAAGAAGUCAUUGUUUUUAAUAGCUGAGUAGUAUUCCAUUGUGUAAAUGUAUCACAUUUUCUCUAUCCAUUCCUUUGUUGAGGGACAUCUGGAACUAGAAAAUAUCAUCCUGAGAGAGUUAGCCCAGUCACAAAAGAACACACAUGGAAAUACAGGGAGCAGAGACUGAAGGAAAGGUCAUCCUGUGACUACCCCAUCUGGAGAUCCAUAUACAGACACCAAACCCAGACACUAUUGCAGAUGCCAAGAAGUGCUUGUUGACAGGAGGAGUCUGAUAAGGCUGUCUCUUCAGAGACUCUGACAAAGCCUGAGAAGUACAGAUGUGGAUGCUUGCAGUCAACCAAUUGGAUUGAGCACGGGGACCCCAGUGGAAGAGUUGGGGAAAGGACUGAAGGAGUUGAGGGGGUUUGCAACCCCAUAAGAAGAAUAACAAUAUCAAUCAACCAGAUACCUGAGAGCUCCCAAGGACUUAACCACCAACCAAAGAGUACAUAUGGAGGGACCCAUGUCUCCAGACAUCAGUGGGAGGAGAGGCCCUUGGUCCUAUGAAGGCUUAACGUCCCAGUGGAGGGGAAUGCCAAGGUGUUGAGGUGGGAGUGGGUGGCUGGGAAGUGGAGCAUCUUCAUAGAAGCAGGUGGAGGGAAAAUGUGAUAGGGGAUUUCUAGAGGGGAAACCGGGAAAGGGGAUAACGUUUGAAAUGUAAAUAAAUAUCUAAUAAAAAAAGA